rnacentral:rRNA from 1 species
GACGAACGCUGGCGGCGUGCCUAACACAUGCAAGUCGAACGGGCCUUGUCCCCUUUUUUUUUGGGGGUGGGGUUAGUGGCGAACGGGUGAGUAACACGUGAGUAACCUGCCCCUCACUUCUGGAUAACCGCUUGAAAGGGUGGCUAAUACGGGGUGUUCUGGCCUGCUCGCAUGGGUGGGUUUGGAAAGAUUCGACCGGUUUUGGUUGUUUUGGUGGGGGAUGGGCUCGCGGCCUAUCAGCUUGUUGGUGGGGUGAUGGCCUGCCAAGGCUUUGACGGGUAGCCGGCCUGAGAGGGUGGGCGGUCACACUGGGACUGAGACACGGCCCAGACUCCUACGGGAGGCAGCAGUGGGGAAUAUUGCACAAUGGGCGCAAGCCUGAUGCAGCGACGCCGCGUGAGGGAUGGAGGCCGUCGGGUUGUGAACCUCUUUCGCCAGUGAAGAAGGUCCUGCUCUUUGUGGUGGGGUUGACGGUAGCUGGGUUAAUGAAGCGCCGGCUAACUACGUG